GUGAAAUUGUUGAAAGGGAAGCGCUUGCAACCAGACCUGCCUGCAGUUGCUCAUCCGGGCUUUUGCCCGGUGCACUCUUCUGCUGUCAGGCCAGCAUCGGUUCGGGCGGUCGGAUAAAGGCUUCGGGAAUGUAGCUCCUCUCGAGGAGUGUUAUAGCCCGUUGCGAAAUGCGGCCAGCCUGAACUGAGGUCCGCGCUUCGGCUAGGAUGCUGGCGUAAUGGUUGUAAGCGGCCCGUCUUGAAACACGGACCAAGGAGUCUAACAUCUGUGCGAGUGUUUGGGUGUCAAACCCGUACGCGUAAUGAAAGUGAACGGAGGCGGGAACCCCUCGGGGUGCACCGUCGACCGAUCCUGAUGUCUUCGGAUGGAUUUGAGUAAGAGCAUAGCUGUUGGGACCCGAAAGAUGGUGAACUAUGCCUGAAUAGGGUGAAGCCAGAGGAAACUCUGGUGGAGGCUCGCAGCGGUUCUGACGUGCAAAUCGAUCGUCAAAUUUGGGCAUAGGGGCGAAAGACUAAUCGAACUAUCUAGUAGCUGGUUCCUGC
rnacentral:rRNA from 1 species